rnacentral:misc_RNA from 1 species
ACCAAAAGCCAGAAUGAUAUUUGGCCACAAGCAAGCAUACCAACCAAGUCUUGGAAAAAAGGGAAAAGGCAACAAAGAUGUCUCAUUCCUUGAGGCAAAUACGCAAUGGCCAUUCCUCAGUGCGCCACAGACUUAGUAAUUUUAGCCAAGAAGGUUUACAUGAACAUGUUUCCUCGUCCAAUUGGUAUAGCAAAAAACUAAAGACCUUAUUCCAAAUAUCAAACUAAUAAGCUCACAGAUCAAUGUGCUUGGGAGGUGGGGUAGAAUUCACAAGGAUAGAUGCAUUUGUAGUUAGAAUAAGAUUAUAUGUAAUUGGCAGAAAAAAGAAUAAUUAUCUCUUAAUAACAUGUAGCUAAAUCUGCUAGUCUUUCUGAAUCUUAGAAACUUGCAAUUCAAUAAGAUAAAAUCUGUAGCAGAAAGAAAAAGGAUCAUCUAUCUCUUGAUAACAACGUAGCUAGAUCCGCCAGUCUUCUGAAUCUUAGAAAUUCUCCUCAGGAUUUCUGCAAAAGCCUUCUUAUCCUCAGAACCUUUCAGUCGUGAUUUAAACCUAGCAACAAGAUCCUGUGUGGUCACGGGCCCAUUUUGCAACAAAACAGCCCUGAUCUCUUCUUCAGUGACGGGUGAAGUUGACCCUGUUUUCAGUGAUGAUGGUGACCCUUUAGGAGUUGCACUACUUUUAGCAGUAGGCACACUUUCUUCUUUCACAGUAGGUUUUAAUUCAUUUUCUGCCUUCACCUUCUUUUGAGGUCCGCCAGCAGAUGUUUUUGCAUCAUCACCAUUUAAUUUUCUUUUUCCCUUUGCAGACUUGGAAGUAGAUGGGGUCCCUUUAGCAGAACCAGAAGGCAUUGGUUUUGCAGGACUGUUAUCAGCAGGUUCCUCCUUAGGUGCAUCCUUCUUUGGAGCCAAUACAGGAGAAAGAUCAUCUUCCUCCAUAUCCUCAUCAUCAUCGUCGCCAUCUGCAUCUGAAUCAUUCAGUCCACCAGCUCUCCCAAGAAGCUUCUUCAACUCCUUGCCAGAUUUACUCAGUCCACCUUCCUCAUUCUCGUCAUCUUCAUCAUCUUCAUCCUGCAACAUGAAAAAACCAAGGCUAAUAUGACAAAAACCAAACAUUACAAUGUACAGUUAAAGGGGGCAGAAGUUUGGUGAUCCAUUUGAAGUACUCCUCAACAAUAAAUGUUCCGACUUACAAAUCACAUUAUGUGCUCAAAACUUACAACUGUCAUUUUUAUUUAUCAGUAAAGCAUAAUUCAGAAAUUCAAACUUUUAUUAAUAUAAAAUUUUACACAUUUUAUUACCACUGACCAUAUGCCAAACAGACCUUAAAUAGGAUACAAACUAUUGCAUCAAGCAUUACACAUAAGAUAUCAAACCUAAGGAAAACCAACAUAUGUUAACAUGCCAAGCAAUUAGGCAACAAAAUUUCCCUGCCAAAGUGAAAAAGCAACACAAGGAUAGUUCCCUUAACUCAUUUGUUUUACUUUCAUUUCAAUAAUGUCAAUGUCAUCAAAAUUCUCUGACAAUUUAUUUAUCACGAACAUAAUAGAUUACCAUUCGAUUUACUAACAACCAAUAUGUUCUCCAUAGCAACCAGGUCCAUGCUAUCCCAUUAAAGUUUCUCUAGUUGAAAAUACAUUAUUCACCAAGAGAUUGAAUAUAAACAACUGAGGUCCCAUGAAGAUCAAAUUAUCAGAGCACAUCAUUAUAACUUUUGAGCUUUGAAGCCUUGAUACCCAAAUGCUUGCUAACAAAAUGAUGCAAAAAUGACAGAUCUGAUGUGCCCAUUAACAACCCACAUCUGCAAUCGGCAGAAACAGUUACUUACCUGCUUGAUUUCUGGAGGAGCAGGAACCUCAGGGGCCAAGUCUUCCCGUUCCUCGGGAUCAUUACCAACUGCUUCAUCAUCAUCAGUGAAAAUUUCUUCAUGCUCCCAAUCAUCACCUAAUAUCCACAAAUACACAUUUCUUUCUCAGUAUCAUCAUCAUCAAUAUCAUGAUCUCCUCCCCUUGGACCUUCCUCAUCGUCGUCACCACUAUGUUUGUUGAGUCCAAGUCUAUUUUUCCUUGCUGCCUCCUCCUCUUCAUCUUCUUCUCCCCUGUCGGACACAUUGCCUUCUUCAUCAUCACCACCUGUUUUUUUACGUCCUCUUCCACCAGAUGUUCCACUUUCUUUAUCAUCAAACUUUUCCACUUCACCAAAUGCUGCAGCUCCAUUAUUUGCAGCUUUCAUCAUCCAUCUUUGAUAACCAUCGGCGGUUUUUCUCCUGUUCUUCAUCUUCUCUUCUGCUUCCUCCAAAGUAAGUUGCUUAUAUUGAGCAACCUUGUUAAAGUUAUACCAAGAACCGGCAGGAAUAGCAACAAACUCUUUCCCCUGCAAUAUCAAUAAGUAGUAAGUUGCUGAUUGUGAACCUUCAAGAUGACCUUGGUACUGAAACUGGCCUGUUUCAUCCUCCAAUAACCAAGGUUUAUUCUUGUAUUUCCCCCGCAACACAUCAGUUAGUUGACGUCCUUGAAGUCCUUCCUUAUGCAGUGACCAUUUAUUCUCAGCAUUUUUCUUCUUUGAAAAACUUGGUAGCCCUGUCACAAAUCUACCAAUAAAGUAGUUCUUGUCGUUGUCAGGACUCACUCGAACAUUGUAUUCCUAGAUGGAACCACAAGAAAGUACACAUAGGUUCAUCUUUCAAAUAAACAUAAUUUAUUAAUCAAUCAAUCCUCAAGGAUUUUCAAAUACAAUGACGUCAUGUUGAAAAUUAUCAUAAAUUCACAGACAAUACAACAAUAUUAACACUAUAAAAGCCCAUGAAAAUCAUAUUUGCAACAACCCUCUUGUAAAAACAUAUCACAUAUUCAUUCCUUUCGUCUUUUGUAACCCUAUGAAAGGAACUUAGAUAUAAACCAUUGGAGACCAUCAAGGGGAUGACAUCGUAAAAUCAAUUCAUCCCUCGAAAAUUUAUAUCAAAAACCGCCAAUAUUGUGUUCUAUACAAUGAAUAAUUAUAGAAACUUGACAAAAAUAAGAAAAGGAAAAAAGUGUGAGGAUAGAGGGAGAAGGAGAAGAAUAAUAAUAGCAAUAUUGUUGUAGUGAUGUAACUAACAAAUAAAAACAAUAAAAUUGGUCCACCAAAUUCAAAAAAAUAAGCUACAAAUAGAAUUUGAGAGAGAAAAAAAAAAACCCGAAUCAAGCGAGUUACUGUAGCACCACAAUCAUAACAUUUUCCGAGACUCUCAGCCAUGGUUUUCCCACAAGUCAAGCAUAGAGUCAUGUGCUUGCAGUUGCUUCCAUAUAAGUCUGUGGUAGAUCCACAUCCACUACAUGAUGGCUUCAACAUAAGAUCAAACGACAUUUUUCCUCCACCUUUAGAAACCAACAAACAUCAAAUUUCAAAGAAGCAAACCAAACAAACCAUAAAAAUAAGAGAGAAACAACAAAGGACCACAAUCUAGGGUUUUGUUAUUUUUAACUAAUGAAAUCAAUUAAAAUACCUACAGAACAAUUAUUUUGUGAACUAUGAAUAUGUUUUUUUUUCUCCAAAUUUUUAGGGCAAGUGUUAUGGAUUUUCACUUUUUUUGAGCAUUCAACAGUUGGAGAAUGUCCAAAAGUAUAAAUAUAAAAAGAGAGAGAGAGUUCAAAUCUUUAAAGAUGACACAAAUGAGUUUAACCAUUACACUAAUAAAACAAUAAGAAACAACUGGAUUUAACAAUCUAUGCCAAUGAAGCCAUCAUAAACUGUGAAAUAGAAUCAUAUAGAUACACCUGGCUAUAGACUACAGAAAAAAGGUGAAUAAUGAACCAGCUCAAGCUGCCAACUAACUCAGGUCUCUGCCCAUACUCAGCAAUCAAAUAUAAGUAGGAAAUGGCAAUUCAACAGAAACAAGUGUCAAGAAAAUUUGUUACACACAGCUUUUCCAUAGUGAACUGUUACCCUGAUAAAGUAAUGUGUGUUUGGUUUUCUGUUUCUUUUUCAAUUAUUUCCUGCACAAUAACCUGUUUCUUGUUGCUCCUAAUUUGAUUUCUUCAAACUGUUCAACAAAAAAUGACUUUAGAACUUAAUCAGGAGAACAUGUGUACCUAAAACUACAAAUUCAAAAUAUAAACUGCGCAUUGGCCUCUGAAUGUAUCCAUGUCCAAUAUUGUCCCAACUGAAUCAGCUCAUUCAAAGCUAAUUUUAAACGCUUGUACCACGCUACAUAUGGGAGUUGUGUCUCUUUAUGUUAAGAGAUUCAGAGGCCAUUCAUGGAAAGAAGAAUUAAGCCAGACCAAAUAUACCCAAAAAAAAAGUAGAAGAGAGUGAGAAUGCUGGUAUAAUUCAAGUGAAACAAAAAAAUAUAUUGUACUUUUCCCCUUCAAAUUGCAACUUCUUUGCGCUGUUAUGGCCACUGCUGUAACCCAUAAAUCAAGACCUUCUUCCCCAUUUCUAGUUAAAGGGAUUUAACCCCAAAUUUUCUGUCCCAGAAUAAUAUUCCAGUAGGGAAAGCAAAGAGGCAACUUGAAAGGCAUAACGAAUCCUAAAUUCAUAACUGAAUGAUUACAGAAUUAAAAUUGCAAAAAUUUUGAAUCCUUCAAGGUAAAACGAAUCAUAAUUCGAAACUGAAUGAGAAUGGAAUCAUUAGGCAUAAAACAAGAGGAUGGAAAAGUAAGACAGUCAUUUAGAUAAUACUAAACUUAGAUAAAAUUUGAAAUAGUGAAUUGAAAUAAACAAUAAAAAUGAAGUAAAAUUAACUUGAAAAUUAGAGAAAAAUAAUGUCAAAACAAAGAUUGAGAAUAGAGUAUAAAGAGGAAUGAUGAUUACUGCCAUCUCUAGAUGAUCAAAAUUUCAGUUGUUUGAGCUAUCACCAUUAAACAGUAUUUAGAUGAUAUGAUGUGCAUGGUUUCAAAUCACGGUCUCAGUCACAGUCACGGAUAACGGAAAUAGGCCUGUCAUGGCCAUAACAUAACAAUAACGACCUAACGCUACACAAAUUUUUUUAAAAAACUUGCAAAGUACAUAAAAUAACUAUAUAUCAGUAGAUACAAGUAAAACUAUGAUACACAACAAUAUAAUAAGCACAAAUACAUCAACUAAAGAUAUUAAAUCUAUCAUGUUUAGACAUUAUUAGCAUUAAACAAUAAUGUACGUAGAACAGAGAUAUUUAAUGAUGGUCUUAGCUUAAUAAACAACAAGGGAGAGAUUUUGUAGAAUAAAGGAGAAAUUUGAGUGAAAAUUUGAUAGAAUAUGAGAGAUAUAGUAGCUGUGCAAGAGAUGAUACUCAAACAAAGAAAAGAGAAGAAAAAUAAUACUGUUUCCGCAUGAUUGCAGCAGAGGUAUAAUUAAAGUAAUGGCCAUUACUAUUACGUAACGGUAAAUAACAGCCAUUACACCUGCAAUUCCAUAUUUGCCAGUAAAUAACGGUGUAUUGCAUAGGCCCUUCCAAAACCUAUAUAUAACAGCCAUUACGUUACGUAACGGCCGUAAUUUGUAACCAUUCCCUAGAGGUCCUAGAGAUUCACCAUAAGCCUGGACAUAGCCUUGACAACAAGUCAAUUUCAAUCAGAUUCUGAUCCGCGAAACUAAUAACCUUAAAUAGGACUGUCCAUGGUCGAUUCCAGUUUCCAUCUUGUUCUGAUUUUGGCUUUCAUUAGAUUUGAGUCAAUCCAAAGUUUCAAAAUUUUAAAUCCAAAGUUUCAAAUUUUUAUUUUUAAUUUUUUAUUUAAAAAAAAAAGGGGUUGAAACAGGACCAAACCACCGAUUUCAGCUCAGUUUGGUUUAUGGGACAGAACUCAGAAAUGAGGACGGAGCCCAGUCCCUGAGGUCCUGGUUUCAGUCCAGAUCACGCCCAUGAACCACUGACCAAUUCUGGUCCCGAUUUGACUGAUUCCAAAGUCAGAUCAAGUCAUGGUCAGGACUGCCUAGCCAUAGGCCAGGUUGGGCCAAGAACUAGACCAAGAUGAGCCCAGCCAAUCAUUUGCAUGCAGUUUUUUUUUUUCAUUUUUAAAAUUACACAAUCAAAAUA